UACGUAGGGGGCAAGCGUUGUCCGGAUUUAUUGGGCGUAAAGAGCGUGUAGGCGGCCAUACAGGUCCGUUGUGAAAACUGGAGGCUUAACCUCCAGACGUCGAUGGAAACCGUAUGGCUAGAGUCCGGAAGAGGAGAGUGGAAUUCCUGGUGUAGCGGUGAAAUGCGCAGAUAUCAGGAGGAACACCCGUGGCGAAAGCGGCUCUCUGGGACGGUACUGACGCUGAGACGCGAAAGCGUGGGGAGCAAACAGG
rnacentral:rRNA from 1 species